UGCGUCUAACAAUCUCAU
rnacentral:snRNA from 1 species